GAGAUGAUAUGAAGGCUAUGUUGGGAAUCCGGUACUCGUCCCGGUACCGAAUUUUGUGAAUCCGCAACCCGCUCCGAUACCGACUGCUGUGAAUCCGGUACCGAUGGUUGGGAUUCCGCAACGGAAACGUCAAAUCGAGUUUUUACCAUAAACCCUUCUCCUCAGCAAAAGCUGAUACAAUCAUAAAAGAGAGAAAUACCAAAACAGAAAAUAUGCGGGUAAAAUAAGAUUCAUUAAAUAAGAGAAUAUUACACCUGACUCCUCUUCUGCACAGAGUAACUACAACCCGAGCCCUCUUUCUGAAUAUUUUCUACCCUUCUCUCGUCUUCUAUAAUCCCAUAAAGAAGACAAUCAUCCACGCGCACCCAUGCACUAGGUGCACUAAAUAACUCUCUCUCUCUCUUUUUCUCUCUCUGGUACGGCACCCAAGAGGCCUUUUCUCUCUCUCCNCCAAAUAGUUGGUACCAUCAAAUUUUCUGUCGUUAGAUUUACCCUUUUGAUUAUUUCUACCCAUUAGAUCAUACUAUUCAACCAACCACCUACUCAAUCCUAGAGGACCACUAUCAUCUUAACCGCACAUCGCUUCAUCAUCCAAGGGCCAAAAACUUAAUAGGACCAAUAACUUUGUGCUAUUAAUAGUAUUUUAGCCUAGUUCUUUAGAUACAUAAAUAUUUGACUAAAAUAGAGAAUUUUUUUUUUUAUAAUCAGUUGUUUUUUCUAUUUCUCUUCCUUGACUUUAAACAAUCUAUAAUUUAUCUUCUCAAAAUUUCAAAUUACUGCAUUCAACUUCCCUCUGUCAAAAUUUCGUCACAUUUCUUAUAUUUUAUAUUAAAAAUACUCUUAAAAAUGAUAUAACUAUAUUAAAAAAUUAUUUUUUAAUAGAACCAGUAACAUUAGUUUUGUAGUGUCCCUGGAGUACAGCAUUUGAGGCUUGUCGACACGUUGGAAGAGUGUCGGAACAAGUCCGAGUCGCGUUGGCACGAAAUAGACACAAAACGGACUCAGUGGGACAC
rnacentral:lncRNA from 1 species